AUGUCUUACAGCUUUUGCCUGAGUUUCUUAGGACAAUCAUUCUUGGAAUGCUUCCAUGUAGAACCUAGCGGUCAUCCUAUGAAAAACCCAAGCCACAUGGGGAGGCCUUGUAUGGGUGUUCCAGUUUACAGUCCCAGCUAAUACUAGCAUCAGCUGCCAACCACGUGAGUCAGCCAUCUUGGACAUCCAUCCCAGAUGAGCCUUUGCAUGAUUCUAGCUCCAGCCAUCAUUGGACUGCAAUCACAUGAAAAACUCUAAAAAUAAGAACUACCCAGCUGAGCUCAGUCAAGUCAUAAAACCAUUAGAGAUAAUAUAUAUUUUUAAGCCACUAUGUUUUGCGGUUGUUUGUUGUGCAGUAAUAGAAAACUGGAACACUCAUGGAAAUCUUACUAGUUUUAGCAUGUCUGUUUAUUUUUGUGCCAGCACUAAACUGUUCACCACUGUAGUAUUUUAAUACAUUUUAAGAUGUGGGAGAUGGAAGAAACUUUGGGCAGUGGUGGUGUGUAUUGUGAUCAGAGUGGAGAGUGUCACAAAAAUGAAACGGCUUAUCUUCCUACAACCUACCUUCUCGUUUCUUUUUGGAGGCAAAUUUAUAAUGUGGAGGAAUUCAUAAUGCCUUGGACAAAAUGUGCAGCUAUUGUUUUUACUGAGAAGUUUGCAAGUACCUGUUUUAUCCACAUAGAUAUCCAAGUGCUAUGGUUUAAUAUAUCUCCCAAAUUUCACAUGUUGGAAAUUUGAGUCCCAACACAGCAAUGUUGGGGAGGGUGGGACUUUUAAGAGGUGAUUAGGUUAUAAGGGCUCCGUCCUCAUGAAUGGAUUAGUGCUGUUACAGAGGGAGUAGGUUUGUUAUAAAAGGAUGAUUAGUUUAACCUCCUCCUCUGCAGUUUAUUUAGAGAUCGAUUUUAUUUUGUAUGGAGGAAAAGGGAGUGGAUUGGGGC
rnacentral:lncRNA from 1 species